CUCAUUUCUAGGACAUCCGAUAAAAUGUGAACGAUACGAAAAUGAUUAGCAUGAUUCUUGUACAAGAAUAAUACGCACAGAUCGAGAAGUAAUCCAAUAAUUA